rnacentral:hammerhead_ribozyme from 1 species
AUUCAGAUGACGAGUCUUAUAUAGGAUGGAAUGCGCGUCCUGGAU